UAUCUCUGUAGAGUCUGCAUAUCAAUAAGCGGAGGAAAAGAAACUAACAAGGAUUCCCUAGUAACGGCGAGUGAAGCGGGAAGAGCUCAAAUUUGAAAUCUUCAAGGUUCUACCUUGACGAAUUGUAGUUUAAAGAAGUGUUUUCUGUUAGAUGAGUAGUAAAAGUUCCUUGGAAUAGGGACAUCAUAGAGGGUGAGAAUCCCGUAUUUGACUAUUCAUUUCUAGCUUUGUGAUACACUUUCAAAGAGUCGGAUUGUUUGGGAAUGCAGUCCAAAAUGGGUGGUAAAUUUCAUCUAAAGCUAAAUAUUGGCGAGAGACCGAUAGCGAACAAGUACCGUGAGGGAAAGAUGAAAAGAACUUUGAAAAGAGAGUUAAACAGUACGUGAAAUUGUCAAAAGGGAAGCGUUUGACACCAGUGUUGUUUUUCCGAAAAUCAAUUACGAAUGGCUUGAUUUUGUGUUGUAUUGACCUUAUCAGCUUUCUUCACUUUUUUCGAGUCUUUCUUAAUGCACUUUUCGGUUAACAAGUCAACAUCAAUUUCUUUCGUUGUAAAAGAGUAUUCAGGAAGGUGGCAUUCUUUUCGGAGAAAGUGUUUAUAGCCCUAUACUUCUACAAUCGGAGAGAUUGAGGUCUGCAGCGUAGAUCCUUCGGGGUUAGAUACACUUGUGCUAAGUUGUAGCCUUUCAUAGACAACUUGUUGACUAUGUUUAGUCAUGCGGCUUACUCGCUUGUGCUAUUUUACCUACGCUUAGGAUGUUGACUGAUAUGUAGUCGUA
rnacentral:rRNA from 1 species